GCCCAGAUGGGAUUAGCUAGUAGGUGGGGUAACGGCUCACCUAGGCGACGAUCCCUAGCUGGUCUGAGAGGAUGACCAGCCACACUGGAACUGAGACACGGUCCAGACUCCUACGGGAGGCAGCAGUGGGGAAUAUUGCACAAUGGGCGCAAGCCUGAUGCAGCCAUGCCGCGUGUAUGAAGAAGGCCUUCGGGUUGUAAAGUACUUUCAGCGGGGAGGAAGGGAGUAAAGUUAAUACCUUUGCUCAUUGACGUUACCCGCAGAAGAAGCACCGGCUAACUCCGUGCCAGCAGCCGCGGUAAUACGGAGGGUGCAAGCGUUAAUCGGAAUUACUGGGCGUAAAGCGCACGCAGGCGGUUUGUUAAGUCAGAUGUGAAAUCCCCGGGCUCAAC
rnacentral:rRNA from 1 species